CCAAAGCAUCGUUCUCAGCAGAAAUGUCACCUCUUCUUGCAAAGUAACGAGCGAUGGCAGGACUCUUGCGGGGCUGGGAGCAGGCAGAAGUGAAGAAUGAUCUCUGCCCGGUUCCCACGAGGUCCAGUGUGGAAUCUUGAGCCGCGAUGCAAAAUCCCAACCCGAAGGGCAACUGCGUGUUUUAACCUGUGACCCCGGUGUCCUUGCCACGCUCACGGACUUCCACCAGCAGGAACCGGCCGGUCGCCGGUCUGACCGGCUCACCUCUGAACCCGGCUCUGUGGUGUCUGAUGGGCUCUCUCCAGCAGUCGAUGACCCAGAGGUAUUCUGACCACAGAGAACGCAGCCUCCAGGAAGGAGCCUCCUCUCAUUUGUAAACGAGAACAGUAUGGCAGCUGGGACUGACGUCCGCCCCUCGGUGUUCCGGUCACUGCCUUCAUCCCACCGACUGGACGAGACGCAGGGGGAGCUCGGCUCAGUGACCCGCGUGGCUGGCGAUGCUGGGAUUGGACUUGGCACUUCAAACGUCCUAAGGAAGUCGUUCUCCAAGGGCACCGAGCAACGGGGCUGAGCUUUAAUCAACGGCAGGCGAGGUCACCAGCUCCGUCUUGUUCAGGAGUUCUCGACCGAGGACGCGACAGGCGAAGUCAGCUGACUGUUCAGGAAGAAGCGAUGAGGGGACCGGAGACCAUGGACACUCCACCUGUGGCCCCACUGGAGCCCUGCCCUCUGCUAACCGUCGGGAGGAAACCGCACACCUGCAGAGGGGGCGUUGCAGCUGCGGGAGCAUCCGGACGACCAGCCUCCAAACCUCUUCCCAGGCGGGUG